rnacentral:rRNA from 1 species
CUUUCCGGGCGCGCUUACCAUGCAGUCGCACGAGAACUCCCGGGGCUUGCCCCGGGACAGUAAAGUGGCGCACGGGUGAGUAACGCGUGGGUAAUCUGCCCCGGAAUCGGGGAUAACAUUGCGAAAGCGAUGCUAAUACCGGAUGACGACGCCGCGACCGGGGUUGCGGCGUCCAAAGGCGGCCUCUGCAAGCAAGCAACCGUUUCGGGACGAGCCUGCGUACCAUUAGCUUGUUGGCGGGGUAACGGCCCACCAAGGCGGCGAUGGUUAGCUGGUCUGAGAGGGUGGCCAGCCACACCGGAACUGGAACACGGUCCGGACUCCUACGGGAGGCAGCAGUGAGGAAUUUUGCGCAAUGGGGGAAACCCUGACGCAGCAACGCCGCGUGAGUGACGAAGGCCUUCGGGUCGUAAAGCUCUGUCGGGUGGGAAGAACCCGCGGAUGGCGAACACCCAUCCGCGCUGACGGUACCACCGGAGGAAGCACCGGCUAACUCCGUGCCAGCAGCCGCGGUAAUACGGAGGGUGCGAGCGUUAUUCGGAAUUAUUGGGCGUAAAGAGCGCGUAGGCGGUUGUCUAAGUCGGAUGUGAAAGCCCGGGGCCCAACCCCGGAAGGGCAUCCGAUACUGGACGGCUUGAGUAUGGGAGAGGGAAGCGGAAUUCCUGGUGUAGAGGUGAAAUUCGUAGAUAUCAGGAGGAACACCGGUGGCGAAGGCGGCUUCCUGGACCAAUACUGGCGCUGAGGCGCGAAGGCGUGGGGAGCAAACAGGAUUAGAUACCCUGGUAGUCCACGCGGUAAACGGUGAUCACUAGGUGUGGCGGGUAUUGACCCCUGCCGUGCCGGAGUCAACGCAUUAAGUGAUCCGCCUGGGGAGUACGGCCGCAAGGUUAAAACUCAAAGGAAUUGACGG